GGGCCCGCACAAGCGGUGGAGCAUGUGGUUUAAUUCGAUGAUACGCGAGGAACCUUACCAGGGCUUAAAUGUAGAUUGCAUUAGGCAGAGAUGCUUAUUUCUUCGGACUAUCUACAAGGUGCUGCAUGGUUGUCGUCAGCUCGUGCCGUGAGGUGUCAGGUUAAGUCCUAUAACGAGCGCAACCCCCUGUUGUUAGUUGCCAGCGAGUAAUGUCGGGAACUCUAGCAAGACUGCCGGUGCAAACCGUGAGGAAGGUGGGGAUGACGUCAAAUCAUCACGGCCCUUACGUCCUGGGCUACACACGUGCUACAAUGGUAGGGACAGAGAGCAGCCACUUCGCGAGAAGGAGCGAAUCUAUAAACCCUAUCACAGUUCGGAUCGCAGUCUGCAACUCGACUGCGUGAAGCUGGAAUCGCUAGUAAUCG
rnacentral:rRNA from 1 species